AGCCCAGGCAAUGCCACACGCUGGAAAAUAAAUUAAUUUUGUGCCUUACCCUGAUCCUACCUGCCCUUUUGACAGGUGCUCACACAUCACUCACAGCCGAACAAUUACAACAAUUCCCUGCUCACCACAGGCACGCCGCGAGCACCCAGCAGCUGAGGCUGCCUGCCUGUGGCUGAGGCCUGUGUGGGUCAGUCAUGCAGGUUCUUUCUCCAUUCCAAAGCAGCAGGGAGGUGUUUGGGUGUCACUGUGGGCAGCACAGCCUCGUGCUGCGCCCAUUUCUGCGAGCCUCCUGCAGCCCAGGCUCUGCAGGGCCGUGGCCUGGGUGAGCCUGCAGCCUGGCCCUGCCUGCAGGGCUGUGCUAUCCUGCUUAGAAGGUGGCAUGGAAGCACAGUAGUUCUGGCAAACAUGCUCUUUAUCCAAGCUGUGGUGUUCAGCAAUAGUAUUUGUACAUGAACCAUCAGGUCACAGCCUGAAGCAGCCAUUGAGCACCUGGUGAGCACAGGUGCACGCAGUGAUUGGAACAGAUGGGCCCUGGCUCCCCCCACCCCUCACCCCAUUUAAGGGCUGGCCAUGGUGGGGGAAGGUUCUCUACUUAGAAGGCACCGCUCUUGGAGUGUUCAGUGAGCCUUGAUCUUCUGGAAGUGAUGCAGUAACCUGGGUAUUACUUCUUAAAUGCAUGUCUGAGGAGGGAUCCAAACAUUUCAAGUGUAACAGGGCUGUGGCCCCAUCCCAGCUCUGCAGCACUCACACACUGAGCAGUGCUCCAUGCACUGAGCCGCCUGCAUCCUGCCUGGGUGCUGAGCAACACGGGUGGUGCUCCAGCUGUACUUCUCCAGAUAUGAUCUCAAACUGGUGGGAAUUACUGCAGCAGCAGUGAUGCUACCUGUCUGACUGCUCGGACAAAUGCUGUUGCUACUCUGAGCUGCUACAGAGCUCCUGUUGCACUCAGGAGGCCUGAAGUACAUCUGCAUCACGUGGCUGGAUGCACACGCUGGCCCACUCAGCGCUCAAGGAAAAUGAUCCGUGCUGCCAUGAGAAAGCAAUGCUGUCUGCCUUCCAGCACAGGCAGUAAUCUGGGUCAAGCGUGGAGCUCUGGCGAUGUGACUGCAGUGUCAGGAUCAGUGCUGGCUUGUCCACAGCUUGGAGUGCGGCCAGAACGAGCCCCUUCCUUACAGGGCUGCCCAUUUCCACUGAUAUAUUCUCCUAUUUUCUGUACGGUUUCCGCAGGCUCACACACUGGCUCCAGUGUCACGAGAUAAAAUUUCCUUUUAUUUAUGUCUCAGCUGCAUGAUCCAGAGAGGCUGCUGGUCUAAUGAUGAAUGUCUGUCACAUAAUUCAGAGUAAAUACAUCCCAUGAUAGGUAAUCAUAUGUUGAACACAAGUCAUUUACAAAUUCAAAUGCUAUGUUCCCUUUUUUUUUUUUGAGGGUUUAGCAAUGGGGAAACUUAAAACCAGAAUAUCUCAUCUGUGUGUCAGGUUUAAUUUCCACUUACUAAAAAUAUUAGUUGAGAUGAUAUUUAAGAAAUUUAACACAAAGAAUUUAUUCGGAGGAAAGUGCAAGUGCCUGUGGAACCUUUGUUCUCAGUGGAAACAAAACGCUUUGUGGGAUUAUUAAACGCUGCUCUGCGAGCUGUGCAUUUCAGACAUGCUGAGUUCAAAAGCACCUGGGUUGACUGAGGAGUGGAUGGGAGCAGGCAGUGGCAGAGCUGCUGCUACCUGGGGCAGUAGGGUAAUGCACCUGCCUUGCUUCUGCGAAGUGGGACCAACAUUAAUUAUAAUAAUAAUUCUUCUCUGGGGCAUAACUUCCAUA